rnacentral:rRNA from 1 species
CCGGAUUGGAGUCUGCAACUCGACUCCAUGAAGUCGGAAUCGCUAGUAAUCGCGAAUCAGAAUGUCGCGGUGAAUACGUUCCCGGGCCUUGUACACACCGCCCGUCACACCAUGGGAGUGGGUUGCACCAGAAGUAGCUAGACUAACCUUCAGGAGGUCGGUUACCACGGUGUGAUUCAUGACUGGGGUGAAGUCGUAACAAGGUAGCCGUAGGGGAACCUGCGGCUGGAUCACCUCCUUA